AUACGAAAGGUGCAAGCGUUGUUCGGAUGUACUGGGCGUAAAGAGAGUGUAGGUUGUUUAUUAAGUCGGAUGUGAAAUCCCGGGGCUCAACCUCGGAACUGCAUUCGAUACUGGUAGACUAGAGUUCGGGAGGGGUAAGCGGAAUUCCGUGUGUAGCAGUGAAAUACGUAGAUAUACGGAGGAACACCUGAGGCGAAGGCGGCUUACUGGACCGAUACUGACACUGAGACUCGAAAGCGUGGGUAGCAAACAGGAUUAGAAACCCCGGUAGUCC
rnacentral:rRNA from 1 species